GAGUUUAUUUUAUUGGAGGACUGACGGGGUACACGUCAUUUCAUGUCUAACAUUUUUUGUCCGUUUGCUAAAACCAUCUGAAAUCAACCAGCACUGCAACCACAAAUUAAUAAAAACUGUUUUAUUCACA